GUAGCAAUAAGACUCCUUCCCUUCACAUCACAUGUCGUUCUCUCUCUCCGACAGAGCACCACACCACUUCCUGUGAUCACAAAUUGCAAGGCUAUUGUUCAAAUUUAAAAGCCAGCUCUUAUAUUGUCCAUGAUUUUGUUGAUAGGAUUCCAUUGCUGGAUCAUUAACUGUAAUGACUGAGGUACUGGUGCAGCAUUGUUUCUUGAAUGGUUUGUUUGGGGGAAGUCACUUUUUAAUCAGUUCAUUUUAGACACGUGAGGGGACUACGAUCGAAUGUUUAUUUCUCACUUGUUUCUGAAAAUGCAGCAAGGUCCGGAGACAGUAAGUGAUUGUGGUUUAAGUAUUGUAGAAUGACUAUGACGCUUUCCUCAAUCUUAAGGCUGAAGUCAGUGUUAAUUUUUUGAGUAAGUUGUGUUACACCUAUGUUGUAGUACUCUAUGUGGGAUCUACGUUUCUAGAUCUGUUCAGGCUUCACCCUGUUUUUGGCCCCAGAGUGGAGGGGCAGUAUUGUGUUCUGCUACAAGGGCAAGCUUCGGCAUAAUUAGGUGCAUUUCAGUGAGCAUCACUUGAUAUUUAAUGACUUAUUCAGGGAUAGAACUUGACUGUGGUAUGUUAGCCUAUCUGCUUAAAGGGUUAGUGAACAUGAUCCUUUCAGACCUACGAUCCUGUGGACACUAACUACAAAAUAUCCUGUAUUAUGUUGUGAACACUAGGAUACCCACUAACAUUACCUAACUCAGAGAUGCCAACCCAUAUGAUUUUAUCAAAUUCAUUACGAAGAAAAACAACACAAAAUACGAUAGCAGUAAAAAUGUACAAAGUUUUAGAAAUAUAUUAACUUAAAUUAUCAAAUAACAUACGUACCAUACACAAUGAAUUUCAACCACAUUUUAUUCAGUAUCAAGCUAUAUGUGGAUAAUUAACUACUGAUUUAGGUGAGUACAGUGUUAAUAACAAGGUCCUAGAAUAUCUUCUUUUUUAUUAAAUAUGAAAAUUCUUUGGAAAUGUUAAUACCAACUUUGGCCAAAACAAUACUAAUUUUUGCAUCAGUCUUUGGCCAAAAUACUAAUUGGGCUAAAUUGGGGUUGGUAUCUCUGCCUAACGAUACUGCAAACUCCUCAACCAUAUUGAUGAAACUGUGAAAACUGAUUGACAAAGAAUUCUUGUUUCAUCAGAUAGGUGGAAAUGCCUGCAUUUUGAAAUGUUUUUUUCUAACCACUCACUCAAUGUAGUUUUAGGCGGACAGUCUACAAGUUCUAUCCCAGCUGAAUGCACUGUGUUUCUGUACAUACUAAUGUCUUGUACAUCCAGGUAUUAUUAAUGUUCACAAGUAAAUUAUCAUGUCAUGAUUCUACCCUGUUAUGUAGCCUGUCUUGAUUGCAAAAUUAUUUAAAACAGUAAUGUCUGUUACUAAUGAUUUUCCUGUAUUGUUUUGUGCAUAAUUCCCAGAUUACUACUUCAGCUUCUGUUGAGAUUAACUGUACAUUGUUUCCAGUCACAGUUACAGGUUCUGAUGUCAGAGCAACACAUUUCUCCACAAAGAGUAUGAGGACACAUUAAGGGCAGAUAAGUGAUGGAACUUAUUACAAAUUUUAAUAUCCUAAACCAAAAGUCUUAGGCCUCUCUUACCUUCUGUUUCAGACUAGUGAGUGGGUGAGUAUGGUUUUACGCCACUUUUAGCAAUAUUCCAGCAAUAUCAUGGCGGGGGACACCAGAAUUCAGACCAUUGCCUUCAGUAUUCCUCUUUCCUUGCCCACAUCCCAAAGCUGUCAUUAGACUAAGGAGGAAGUACCUUUGGAGUGUUACAUGCUGAACCACAGAUAUGAUUACAGUGAUGCUCUGUACGUGUCUGGUCUUCCUUCAGGACAAGCUUGGGAGGUUCAGUCUUUCUGUUAAGAUGCAGGUCUGUUGUCUUUCAAUGUUCAGGCUAGUUUGUCUCAUUGUUGCAGUAUCUGGGACAUAGGGGCAGAAAUUCACAGAAUUUCUGUGCAUCUGUGAUGGGAUUACUGGUUUUAAUCUCAGAUUUCCCCUGAUAAUGAUCCUUGGUCAGCCAGCACCAUCCCUCAACACUGUGUUUCCUUCAAACAUAUCUUGUGUGAUCUGUAGCUUCAGUCUCACCAGUGUUAUAUAAGAAGUAAUAGUAUUUGGCCAUUACUGUUUCUGCUAUUUUCCACUAAAAUGCCUGACUAGAACAGAUGCAAGUUUCUGAAAUAGCUGGAAUAUUGUUCAUUGUGACAUAAAACAAUAUUCACUCACUGUUUUGGCCCUUGGUUUACCUGAUCCAAGAACAAGACACAACAUUCUAGUCUAUUACCGACUGUGCAAGUAUGUGCAGUCCCUCUCAAUUCACUCAUUUGAGUAAUGUGUUUCUGGAGAUGGUAGUGGAAAUUAAUUUGAUAAAGUGUUCAGGUUUUCCUCAAGACAACAUUGAGACAAAACGUCCGAGGCCUUAUUCCACAAAGCAGUCUUAGAGCUAAGGUGAUCGUAGCUCCCAUACUUUAACGUUGGCCUGGGACGGUGGGGUAGCCUAGUGGUUAAACCGUUGGCUCGUCACGCCGAAGACCCGGGUUCGAUUCCCCACAUGGGCACAAUGUGUGAAGCCCAUUUCUGGUGUUCCCCGUCAUGAUAUUGCUGGAAUAUUGCUAAAAGCGGCGUAAAACUAAACUCAGUCAGUCAGUCAGUAACGUUGGCCUACGAUAGUCAUACUGCUAAGAUCACUCUAUGGAUUGGGCCUUGGGAUAUUUUUGGCUGUUCUUCAGCACUGUAGAAUUAUUCAAACUUUUAAAUUGUUUAACAAUGUUUGAAAUACAUUGUACUCAUAUUCCACACAAGACAAGGUGAAAACUACAUCAACUGUAUAUGGGACUAUUACCCUUACCUCAACCAUGUUAACAUGUAAUAACAAGGAAGUAGGUUCCAGGCAAUGACUGUCAAACAUUUGCUUUGUUUAUAUGACCCUGUUUAGUAUGAUAAGACUGUGUUACCAAAUGUUCCAUAUCUGAAUGUUUGCAUAGACUUGCUAUGACAAUGUUGUAAGAUUUGCCUUCAGGAGUGAUUUUUUGGUCAUGAAACAGUUAUGAGUUGCUGUGAGUGGCUAAGGAGCACCUCCUCAACACUCCUGCCGAGCAUGUAGGUGGAAGAGUCACCUGUUGACGACAGGUUAUACAACAUAGUUGCGUCCCUCAUCCCAGAGUGCUAUGAGGACAGAGUGAGAAUAUGUUGAAUGUGGGCCCCCUCGUUUGUUGAUACAAGUAUAUGAGAUGAGUCCCAUACAUCUCCAUGUUAGUCUGUUUAUUUUUGUGCCGAUUGUUGUGGAUGUUGUUGAUCUUGGAAUGACAUUAUGAGGUGAAACAUUUAAGUCUGUUUAACUUGAUGUCUACAUGUAUUUUAUCCCUUGUUCCAAGUGCUAUUUGAGUAAUUGUGAGUGUAAUAUUGUGUGUAUCAUCUAAUUUGUAGAAUGAUUAGUUAUUUCAUUAACCUGUAGAUAUAUUUUAAUGAAGGAUUAUUUGAUUCUCCUGGCCAAUCUGUGUACGGUAUUUACCGUAUUCAAAGUAUCAAAAUUUGAAUCAGAAUCAUUUCAAAUCUGUAUCAGGUUUGAACUUCUUUUCUCUCUAAUUUCUUUUUUUUUUUAAAUUUGAUGUCUUUUUUUAAAUAUAAUUUUAGAGUAAUAAUUAAAAAGCUUCAGUGUGUGAAAUAUACAUGAGCAUAGUAUUUACCAAGAGACUGAUUGAUAAUCACUAUAUUUCAUCAUGUUUUAUGUAACUUCUCCUAAUUGUCUCAUACACGACUCAGAUAGUUUACUGUUGUACCAACAUAAAAGGCAAGUAUAUAUGCUUUUAUGUAUCAACUGUUACUCAGUAUUCUGCAAGCCAAAUAAGAAAUUAGUCCUCAUUUUCCAACAACACACAUAUCACUUUCAAAAAUCAUUUUACAAGAAAUGUGACUGGUCAUGUUAUUUGGGGCAGUGGGCAGGUGAGAUGAAGAAGAUGUCAUGAAAAAGUGACAACACAAAGAGUGGUUGGGAUUCUUCAGAAUUUAUCACAAUUACAUGGGGGAUGGGGGCAUGCAAAAAUAGAAAAAUAAUACAUGUAAACAUUAUUAGCACAUAAUUUGAUGUAAAUAUGAACAUGUGUGUGUGUGCAUGUGUGCAUGUGUGUGUAAAGGUUGGAUUGAGACAGGUGGUCUGCAAACUAUGAUGCAGUCCUAAGACCAAUCCAACCAGCCCAUCGCACCUUAUAACAGAUGACCAGUUCCAAAUCUGUAUGCAAAGUAAAUAAAACAAUGACCAGUUUAAUUUUUUUUUUUAACAUUUCAUUAUAUUGGGAUAACUAUUGAGAAAAAGUAGAAAUUUUAACCUUUCUUCUGUUAUUUUUAGUCUUCUUUUUUUUUUCCUGAUAUUUUUUCAACUGACUAAACUGACAGGAAUGUAAUCUCAGGCUUGCUAUAUCAAUAUGGCUCCAUAGACAGUUCCUUGUCAACAUAGUCCGGACAACCCUUGUUUGCAAUGUUCAUAGUUCAGUUUAUUUUUGUAUCAUUUCAUUCCAUGUUUUAAUGACAACUGACCAUGUUCUAAAUCCCCAAAACAUCUGUCUCACAAAUACAGACUUGCUUUUCUGAACAUUCAAAUUGUCACCGACAUCAUUCAGUUUUACAACUACAGCUAGCUCAACACUCAAGGUAAUAUUAUAUGUUAGUAACAAUAUACUUAGGGGACAAAUAUUUCAUCGUAGAUGCUAUAUUUUUUAUGUAUGUAUAGAAUGACAUGGAAGUAUUACAAUUACCAAUAGUUCACCUGGUCCCCAUUUGUUUGCUGUUGAGUGGACUGUGUGCUGUACAUCACCUCAAUGUCUGUUAAAGAUGUUUUCUCGACCAGAAGGCUGUGACAGACAAAUACACCUUGCUUACUCGAACAGCUUUUGACCCUCAAUUCAUGGUUGGCGGUCUAGACGUCUAUAAACUGGUAAAUAUGAGACUAUUUCUUAUCUCAUGUUCGUCAUUAUGUAGAUAGACGACAAAAACAGAGAACUGACUGAAAUCACAAGCUCACAUCUAAGUAUCGGAGAGGCUAUAUCAUAUUUCAUGAAAAGAUAAGUAUAAAUGGUUCACUGUCUCUGAUCCAAAGACUCUUUAUUAUUACUCAUUAUAAUUCAUAUUCUGAUGCUCAAAAUAUACAAUAAAUUGAAAUUAUUUUUCAUGAUCGAUCUCUUAAUUUAGUAAGAAAAACAGAUUUAAAUUAAAUUAAAAUAAAAAUU
rnacentral:lncRNA from 1 species